rnacentral:rRNA from 1 species
GCAAUAAGCGGAGGAAAAGAAACUAACAAGGAUUCCCCUAGUAACUGCGAGUGAAGCGGGAAAAGCUCAAAUUUAAAAUCUGGCGGUCUCUGGCCGUCCGAGUUGUAAUCUAGAGAAGUAAUGCCCGUGCUGGACCGUGUAUAAGUCUCCUGGGAUGGGGCGUCAUAGAGGGUGAGAAUCCCGUCUUUGACACGGACUACCAGUGCAUUGUGGUAUGCUCUCAAAGAGUCGAGUUGUUUGGGAAUGCAGCUCAAAAUGGGUGGUAAAUUCCAUCUAAAGCUAAAUAUUGGCGAGAGACCGAUAGCGAACAAGUACCGUGAGGGAAAGAUGAAAAGAACUUUGGAAAGAGAGUUAAACAGUACGUGAAAUUGCUGAAAGGGAAACGCUUGAAGUCAGUCGCGUUGGCCAGGGAUCAGCCUUGCUUUUGCAUGGUGUACUUUCUGGUUGACGGGUCAGCAUCAAUUUUGACCGCUGGAAAAGGGCCUGGGGAAUGUGGCAGCUUCGGCUGUGUUAUAGCCCCUGGUCGCAUACGGUGGUUGGGAUUGAGGAACUCAGCACGCCGCAAGGCCGGGUUUCGACCACGUUCGUGCUUAGGAUGCUGGCAUAAUGGCUUUAAGCGACCCGUCUUGAAACACGGACCAAGGAGUCUAACAUGCCUGCGAGUAUUUGGGUGGAAAACCCAAGUGCGCAAUGAAAGUGAAAGUUGAGAUCCCUGUCGUGGGGAGCAUCGACGCCCGGACCAGAACUUUUGGGACGGAUCCGCGGUGGAGCAUGUAUGUUGGGACCCGAAAGAUGGUGAACUAUGCCUGAAUAGGGUGAAGCCAGAGGAAACUCUGGUGGAGGCUCGUAGCGAUUCUGACGUGCAAAUCGAUCGUCAAAUUUGGGUAUAGGGGCGAAAGACUAAUCGAACCAUCUAGUAGCUGGUCUGC